GACGAACGCUGGCGGCGUGCUUAACACAUGCAAGUCGAACGGAAAGGCCCUGCUUUUGUGGGGUGCUCGAGUGGCGAACGGGUGAGUAACACGUGAGUAACCUGCCCUUGACUUUGGGAUAACUUCAGGAAACUGGGGCUAAUACCGGAUAGGAGCUCCUGCUGCAUGGUGGGGGUUGGAAAGUUUCGGCGGUUGGGGAUGGACUCGCGGCUUAUCAGCUUGUUGGUGGGGUAGUGGCUUACCAAGGCUUUGACGGGUAGCCGGCCUGAGAGGGUGACCGGCCACAUUGGGACUGAGAUAAGGCCCAGACUCCUACGGGAGGCAGCAGUGGGGAAUAUUGCACAAUGGGCGGAAGCCUGAUGCAGGAACGCCGCGUGCGGGAUGACGGCCUUCGGGUUGUAAACCGCUUUCGCCUGUGACGAAGCGUGAGUGACGGUAAUGGGUAAAGAAGCACCGGCUAACUACGUG
rnacentral:rRNA from 1 species